AGCAGCCGCGGUAAUUCCAGCUCCAAUAGCGUAUAUUAAAGUUGUUGCAGUUAAAAAGCUCGUAGUUGAAUUUCGGGGUUCUACCGUUGGUCGGGCUAACCAGUCUGUACUAGCGUGUAGAAUUUCUACCUUCUGGGGAACCAUCAUGUUAUUAAUUUAGCGUGGUGGGAAACCAGGACCUUUACCUUGAAAAAAUUAGAGUGUUCAAAGCAGGCUUACGUCUGAAUACAUUAGCAUGGAAUAAUAAAAUAGGACGGUGGUCCUGUUUUGUUGGUUUCUGAAUCACCGUAAUGAUUAAUAGGGAUAGUUGGGGGCAUUAGUAUUCAAUUGUCAGAGGUGAAAUUCUUGGAUUUAUUGAAGACUAACUUCUGCGAAAGCAUUUGCCAAGGAUGUUUUCAUUAAUCAAGAACGAAAGUUAGGGGAUCGAAGACGAUCAGAUACCGUCGUAGUCUUAACCAUAAACUAUGCCGACUAGGGAUCGGACGAUGUUAACUUUUAUUGACUCGUUCGGCGCCUUACG
rnacentral:rRNA from 1 species